rnacentral:rRNA from 1 species
AUACGGAGGGUGCAAGCGUUACUCGGAAUCACUGGGCGUAAAGCGCGCGCAGGCGGUCUUUUAAGUUGGAUGUGAAAGCCUACGGCUCAACCGUAGAACUGCAUCCAAAACUAUUAGACUAGAGUGUGGGAGAGGAAGAUGGAAUUAGUUGAGUAGGGGUAAAAUCCGUAGAGAUAACUAGGAAUACCAAAAGCGAAGGCAAUCUUCUGGAACACUACUGACGCUGAGGCGCGAAAGCGUGGGGAGCAAACAGGAUUAGAAACCCUAGUAGUCC